UCCUGAAAAAGAUAUAUAUGUGGAUCAAUUAGCAGCAAUAUUUUGAUUGUGACGAGAAGAAUAUGCUUAAAUUACGAGAACAAGAAACAUAAACAUGAUUUGUUAAUUAGGUGUAAUCUAUAAAGAAUUGUGCUAGUUGAUCAUAUGGGAUAGCAAGAAGUUGUUUCACCAUAUAAAAAGGUUUGAGUAGGAAAAUAAAUGAGCAUGUUCCAGAAUGCGUCCCACCAUACUCAUUCCCCACUCCUCUGUUGGACUAUAGUAUAUAUAAUUAUAUAGUGUGUAUAUUAUAUAAUACAUAUAUAUAUAUAUAUAGUCAAUACGAGACAAUUGGAAUAGAAAUGUUGACAGCAGGUGCAUAUAUUAAGUAGGUAGUUAUCGCAUGAUUAGAGGACGUUUAGCGCCAACCAAAGUGGGCUAAUUAAUAGUCACCAUGAUAAAUAAACAAGACGAUACAGCUAGCCAACCACUCACCUUCAUCAAAUCGAUAAAAAAAAUAAACAUAAUGCCUCCAUAUUUUCCAUGCACAGGCAGCCAACCAACUAAUUAAAUACAAAAUCUAUUAGUGGAAUUCUACGGCCUAGUUCAGUUUGAUCAAACUAAGAUCAACUUAUUGCUCAAUUCUUUUUUUCUUUUCAUUUUUUAAUAUAUAUAAGGGUGGUGUGGGGGAAAUGUGGGUUAGAACCCAAGAUCUUACAACCUACAACUUGUGCAGUACCAAAUGCAAGCUAAUCACGACUUUCAACAGCCACUUGAUAGUUCCCAUAAAGCCAAAUGGAAACGUUAGAAAGAGAAAAACAAGAUUGAACCGUAAUGUGAAGGCUGCGUUUAAAAGCUUAAGUGAUACAGGAGACAUUUCAAAACUAUUUCAAGAGAAUAUAUCACAUGCCAUUCAAUUAUCUGAAUGCAUCAAAUCUUACUGCGUAUUCAUAUUUUCCUAUUUUUCUAUUUAGUUCUUUUUAAAGAAAGUUGUUAAAUUUCCACCUCAGUGAUAAAUAUAAUUGAUGUACAACAAAAUAGUAAGUAGCACGCAACCGUGAAGAAAUGGCACAACAACCCCCGCACGUCGCAACAAACUCCAACCAAAGAAAGUGAUAUGCAUCCCACCAUUAAUGAAUGGACCCAACCCCAAUCAUAGAUCAUAA